GACGAACGCUGGCGGCGUGCUUAACACAUGCAAGUCGAACGGAAAGGCCCUGCUUUUGUGGGGCUCUCGAGUGGCGAACGGGUGUGUAACACGUGAGUAACCUGCCCUUGACUUUGGGAUAACUUCAGGAAACUGGGGCUAAUACCGGAUAGGAGCUCCUGCCGCAUGGUGGGGGUUGGAAAGUUUCGGCGGUUGGGGAUGGACUCGCGGCUUAUCAGCUUGUUGGUGGGGUAGUGGCUUACCAAGGCUUUGACGGGUAGCCGGCCUGAGAGGGUGACCGGCGACAUUGGGACUGAGAUACGGCCCAGACUCCUACGGGAGGCAGCAGUGGGGAAUAUUGCACAAUGGGCGGAAGCCUGAUGCAGCAACGCCGCGUGCGGGAUGACGGCCUUCGGGUUGUAAACCGCUUUCGCCUGUGACGAAGCGUGAGUGACGGUAAUGGGUAAAGAAGCACCGGCUAACUACGUG
rnacentral:rRNA from 1 species